GAAUUCGCCCUUAGAGUUUGAUCCUGGCUCAGGAUGAACGCUGGCGGCGUGCCUAACACAUUCAAGUCGAACGGAUUUAGAUAAAAGCUUGCUUUUGUCUAAGUUAGUGGCGGACGGGUGAGUAACGCGUGAGCAACCUGCCCUCAUGAGUGGAAUAACGUCCGGAAACAGACGCUAAUACCGCAUAACAUAUGACUGAGGCAUCUCAGACAUAUCAAAGAUUUAUUGCUGAAAGAUGGUCUCGCGUCUGAUUAGCUAGAUGGCGGGGUAACGGCCCACCAUGGCGACGAUCAGUAGCCGGUCUGAGAGGAUGAACGGCCACAUUGGGACUGAGAUACGGCCCAGACUCCUACGGGAGGCAGCAGUGGGGAAUAUUGGGCAAUGGGCGAAAGCCUGACCCAGCAACGCCGCGUGAAGGAAGAAGGCCUUCGGGUUGUAAACUUCUUUUAGCAGGGGCGAAUAAAUGACGGUACCUGCAGAAAAAGCAACGGCUAACUACGUGCCAGCAGCCGCGGUAAUACGUAGGUUGCAAGCGUUGUCCGGAUUUACUGGGUGUAAAGGGCGUGUAGGCGGAGAUGCAAGUUGGGAGUGAAAUCCCGGGGCUCAACCCCGGAACUGCUUUCAAAACUGCAUCCCUUGAGUAUCGGAGAGGCAAGCGGAAUUCCUAGUGUAGCGGUGAAAUGCGUAGAUAUUAGGAGGAACACCAGUGGCGAAGGCGGCUUGCUGGACGACAACUGACGCUGAGGCGCGAAAGCGUGGGGAGCAAACAGGAUUAGAUACCCUGGUAGUCCACGCUGUAAACGAUGAAUACUAGCUGUUGGCGAUACAAUGUCAGCGGUAAAGCGAAAGUGUUAAGUAUUCCACCUGGGGAGUACGCCGGCAACGGUGAAACUCAAAGGAAUUGACGGGGGCCCGCACAAGCGGAGGAACAUGUGGUUUAAUUCGAUGAUACGCGAGGAACCUUACCCGGGCUUGAAAGUUAGUGAAUGACUUGGAAACAGGUCAGUCCUUCGGGACACGAAACUAGGUGCUGCAUGGUUGUCGUCAGCUCGUGCCGUGAGGUGUCGGCUUAAGUGCCUUAACGAGCGCAACCCUUGUUGUUAGUUGCCAUCAGGUAAUGCUGGGAACUCUAACAAGACUGCUACUGUAAGGUAGAGGAAGGUGGGGAUGACGUCAAAUCAGCACGGCCCUUACGUCCGGGGCGACACACGUUUUACAAUGGUCGGUACAGAGGGUUGCUACCUGGCGACAGGAUGCUAAUCUCAUAAAACCGAUCUCAGUUCGGAUCGGAGUCUGCAACUCGACUCCGUGAAGCUGGAUUCGCUAGUAAUCGCGCAUCAGCCAUGGCGCGGUGAAUACGUUCCCGGGCCUUGCACACACCGCCCGUCA
rnacentral:rRNA from 1 species